rnacentral:rRNA from 1 species
GAUGAACGCUGGCGGCGUGCCUAAUACAUGCGAGUCGAGCGAACAGACGAGGAGCUUGCUCCUCUGACGUUAGCGGCGGACGGGUGAGUAACACGUGGAUAACCUACCUAUAAGACUGGGAUAACUUCGGGAAACCGGAGCUAAUACCGGAUAAUAUAUUGAACCGCAUGGUUCAAUAGUGAAAGACGGUUUUGCUGUCACUUAUAGAUGGAUCCGCGCCGCAUUAGCUAGUUGGUAAGGUAACGGCUUACCAAGGCAACGAUGCGUAGCCGACCUGAGAGGGUGAUCGGCCACACUGGAACUGAGACACGGUCCAGACUCCUACGGGAGGCAGCAGUAGGGAAUCUUCCGCAAUAGGCGAAAGCCUGACGGAGCAACGCCGCGUGAGUGAUGAAGGUCUUCGGAUCGUAAAACUCUGUUAUUAGGGAAGAACAAAUGUGUAAGUAACUAUGCACGUCUUGACGGUACCUAAUCAGAAAGCCACGGCUAACUACGUG